AGAUUACUUCUUUCUUCGCUACCAAUUAGCACAGUGGCUGCAUCAUGGAGGCUCAUGGUCUGGUCCAGGUCUCACAGCUAAUAUGAGGCAAAGAAAGAAGUCUAACCCGGAGUAUCAGCACCUACAGUGAAGCAGAUGAGGAGCAAAGAGGAAGUCUUGAGAGGAUUUCAAGCUGGUUAAAAUGACCAGAGCAGAGAGGAUGAUUUGGAAAAGGCCGCUUGCCUCUCCUGUAGGCUCUCCCCAGCAGCUUCUGAAGUGAUUCCGUGUGACUCAGACCAUCCCUUGGUCCCUCAGCUCCUGCAAAACACAUCAGAAGGCCGCUCAAAGUUGAAGAAAGCUCAAGAGAACCAUCAGGAUUGUUUUGGCUUAAGAAGACAAAAGGCACACCCUGAUUCGUUCUCUCCCAUCCAGUCCAUCAGCACAAACCCUUGUUAUGCUAUGGAUAAUGGAUUAAAGUGAACUGUAUGGAA
rnacentral:lncRNA from 1 species